ACUCUCGGCAAUGGAUAUCUUGGCUCUCGCAUCGAUGAAAAAUGUAGCAAAAUGUGAUACUUGGUGUGAAUUGCAGAAUCCCGUGAACCAUUGAGUCUUUGAACGCAAGUUGUGCCCCAAGCCAUUAGGCCGAGGGCACGUCUGCCUGGGUGUCAUGUACCAUGUCGCCCCCCCUCCGACCCCCCUCUCGUCAGGCUCCGGGGGAAGGGGUGGAGAGGAAGAUGGCCUCUCGCGAUCCUCGUGGAUCGCAGUUGGCCCAAAAGCAAGUCCCUGGCAAUGACAGCAUCGUGACCGUCGGUGGUAGAGCUCUCGACGUGCCUCGUCCCUGAUGAUGCAUGCUCGUUGUCUAUUCAGACUUGUUCGGACCCCCCACAUUGCUCGGUCGAUGCUUGUGUCGUGACCCCAGGUCAGAUGGGAUCACCCGCUAAAUUUAAGCAUAUCAAUAAGUGAAGGAAAAGAAACUUACCAGGAUUCCCCUAGUAACGGUGAGCGAACCGGGAAGAGCCUAGCUUGAGAAUCAGGUGCCCCUGACAUCCAAAUUAUAGUCUAGAGAAGCAUCCUCAGCGGCGGACCCGGGCCCAAGUCUCAUGGAAAGGGGCACCAAAGAGGGUGAGAGCCCCAUUGUGCCCGGACCCUAUCACACCACGAGGUGCAGUCCACGAGUCAGGUUGUUUGGGAAUGCAGCCCUAAUCGGGCAGUAAAUUUCAUCCAAGGCUGAAUAUGGGCGAGAGACCGAUAACGAAUAAGUACCGUGAGGGAAAGAUGAAAAAGACUAUGAAAAGAGAGUCAAAGAGUGCUUGAAAUUGUCGGGAAAGAAGCAGAUGGGGGUCGACAAUGCACCCCAGUUAGAUAUGGAACGACGAGAGCCGGUCCGUCGAUUGGCUCGAUGCGUGGACCGAAGCGGGUCACGACGGUUACCCAAGCCCAGGCUUUUGAUGUGCCCAUGGAGUCGUUGUCGCCGUGAUCGUGGAACUUAGCAUAGGCCAUCUCGACAUGCCUCGACACCGGCGUGCUCUAAGGGUCGGCCUACGGGCUCCCCAUCCGGCCCAUCUUGAAAUACGGACCAAGGAGUCUGACAUAUGUGUGAGUCAACUGGCCAAGAAACCCCUAAGGCGCAAGGAAACUGAUUGGUGGGAUCCCUCGUGGGUGCACCGCCGACUGACCUUGAUCUUCUUAGAAGGGUUCGAGUGCGAGCAUGCCCGUCGGGACCCGAAAGAUGGUGAACUAUGCCUGAGCGGGGUGAAGCCAGAGAAAACUCUGGUGGAGGCCCGCAGCGAUACUGAUAUGCAAAUUGUUCGUUUGACUUGGGUAUAGGGGCGAAAGACUAAUUGAACCGUCUAGUAGUUGGUUCCCUCCGAAGUUUCCCUCAGGAUAGCUGGAGCCCCCGUCAAGUUCUAUCGGGUAAAGCCAAUGAUUAGAGGCAUCGGGGGCACAAUGCCCUCGACCGAUUGUCAAAUUUUAAAUAGGUAAGAUGAUGCGGCUGCUUCGUUGAGCCGUGCCACAGAAUCGAGUGCUCCAAGUGGGCCAUUUUUGUUAAGCAGAACAGGCGAUGCGGGAUGAACUAGAAGUCAGGUCACGGUGCCCAACUGCACGCUAACCCAAAACCCACAAACGGUGUCGAUCGAUUAAAACAGUAGGAUGGUGGUCAUGGAAGUCGAAAUCCGCUAAGGAGUGUGUAACAACUCACCUGCCAAAUCAACUAGCCCCAAAAAUGGAUGGCGCUUAAGCGCGUAACCUAUACCUGACCAUCGAGGCAAAGGCCAGGCUCCGAUGAGUAGGAGGGCACGUCAGUCACUGUAAAACCCGAGGCGUGAGCCUGGGUGAGGCGGUCGUCGGUGCAGAUCUUGGUGGUAGUAGCAAAUAUUCAAAUGAGAACUUUAAAGGCCGAAGAGGGGAAAGGUUCCAUGUGAAUGGCAUUUGCACAUGGGUUAGUCGAUCCUAAGAGACGGGGGAAGCCCGUCCGACAGCACGUCCCGUGCGAGCUUCGAAAUGGAAUUGGGGUUAAAAUUCUUGAACUAGGACGCAGUGACUGACGGCAACGUUCUGGAGUCCGGAGACGUCGACGGGGGCCUCGGGAAGAGUUAUCUUUUCUAUUUAACGACCCGUCCACCCUGGAAACAGCUCAACUAGAGGUAGGGUCUAGUGGUCGGAAGAGCACCGCACGUCGCGUGGUGUCCAGUGCACCCCCGGUGGCCCUUGAAAAUCUGGAGGACCGAGUGCCGUCCAUGCCUGGUUGUACUCAUAACCGCAUCAGGUCUCCAAGGUGAACAGCCUAUGGUCGAUGGAACAAUGUAGGCAAGGGAAGUCGACAAAAUAGAUUCGUAACCUCGAGAAAAGGAUUGGCUCUGAGGGCUGGACAUAGGGGUCCCAGUCCCAAACCUGUCGACUGCCGGUGCACUGCUCAAGCUGCUCCCACAGCGAGAGCGAGUCACCGCGUGCCGGCUGAGGGACGGACUGGGAACGAUGCCCUCGGGGGUCUUCUUCGGACGACAAUCAGUCGACUCAAAACUAGUAUUGACAAGGGGAAUCUGACUAUUUAAUUAAAACAAAGCAUUGCGAUGGUCCGUACGGAUGCUCACGCAAUGUGAUUUCUGCCCAAUGCUCUGAAUGUCAAAGUGAAGAAAUUCAACCAGCACGGGUAAACGGCAGGAGUAACUAUGACUCUCUUAAGGUAGCCAAAUGCCUCAUCAUCUAAUUAGUGACGCGCAUGAAUAGAUUAAUGAGAUUCCCACUGUCCCUAUCUACUAUCCAGCCAAACCACAGCCAAGGGAACGGGCUUGGUGGAAUCAACGGGGAAAAAAGACCCUGUUAAGCUUGACUCUAGUCCUACUUUGUGAAAUGACUUGAGAGGCGUAAGAUAAGUGGGAGCCCCCGGGCGAAAUUGAAAUACCACUACUUUUAACAUUAUUUUACUUAUUCCGUGAAUCAGAGGUGGGGCACAACCCCUUCUUUUGGAUCCAAGGUCGGCCUCGAUCAGUCGAUCCGGGCAGAAGACAUUGUCAGGUAGGGAGUUUGGCUGGGGUGGCACAUCUGUUAAAAGAUAAUGCAGGUGUCUUAAGAUGUGCUCAAUGAGAACAAAAAUCUCUUGUGAAACAAAAGGGUAAAAGCUCGUUCGAUUCUGAUUUUUAGUAUGAAUAUGAACCGUGAAAGCAUGGCCUAUCGAUCCUUUAGACUUUUGGGAUUUGAAGCUAGAGGUGUCAGAAAAGUUACCAUAGGGAUAACUAGCUUGUGGCAGCCAAGCGUUCGACGUUGCUUUUUGAUCCUUCGAUGUCGGCUCUUCCUAUCAUUGUGAAGCAGAAUUCACCAAGUGUUGGAUUGUUCACCCACCAAUAGGGAACGUGAGUUGGGUUUAGACCAUUGUGAGACAGGUUAGUUUUACCCUAUUGAUAGCGACGUCACUAUAGUAAUUCAACCUAGUACGAGAGGAACCACUGAUUCACCUCGAUCGACCUCUGAAUUUUUGUUUUGGCACCAAACCGACUGUUGGGGACCAAAUGCACGAGCCAACCAAGGAUCCUGCUGCUGGUCCCCCUCGAUUGU
rnacentral:rRNA from 1 species